UACGUAGGUGGCAAGCGUUAUCCGGAUUUAUUGGGCGUAAAGGGAACGCAGGCGGUCUUUUAAGUCUGAUGUGAAAGCCUUCGGCUUAACCGGAGUAGUGCAUUGGAAACUGGGAGACUAGAGUGCAGGAGAGGAGAAUGGAAUUCCUAGUGUAGCGGUGAAAUGCGUAGAGAUUAGGAAGAACCCCAGUGGCGAAGGCGAUUCUCUGGACUGUAACUGACGCUGAGGCUCGAAAGCGUGGGGAGCAAACAGG
rnacentral:rRNA from 1 species